AAUAUUGCACAAUGGGCGCAAGCCUGAUGCAGCCAUGACCGCGUGUAUGAAGAAGGCCUUCGGGUUGUAAAGUACUUUCAGCAGUGAGGAAGUGGGUAUGUUAAUAGCAUAUUCAUUUGACGUUAGCUGCAGAAGAAGCACCGGCUAACUCCGUGCCAGCAGCCGCGGUAAUACGGAGGGUGCGAGCGUUAAUCGGAAUUACUGGGCGUAAAGCGCAUGCAGGUGGUUUGUUAAGUCAGAUGUGAAAGCCCGGGGCUCAACCUCGGAAUUGCAUUUGAAACUGGCAAACUAGAGUACUGUAGAGGGGGUAGAAUUUCAGGUGUAGCGGUGAAAAUGCGUAGAGAUCUGAAGGAAUACCGGUGGCGAAGGCGGCCCCCUGGACAGAUACUGACACUCAGAUGCGAAAGCGUGGGGAGCAAACAGGAUUAGAUACCCUGGUAG
rnacentral:rRNA from 1 species